CUGUUUACUAUUACAAAUUUUUGUUCUUAUUAAUAAAGUUUUUUCGCGUCUUACACGUCGGAGAAGUAAGAAAAUUGGGCUCUUAAAAAACACAUAUGCCAAACUGCCAAAAGCCAUAGUUGUCAGUUAAAAUAGGAUUGUGAAACUCGUUAUCUUACAUCUGUCAAGCUUAUGAGUUAUGUAGUUAUGUUUAUAAUUUACUCUCUAUAUUAUAUUAUAUUAUAUUAUAUUAUUAUAAUGCCAACGGCAACGCAUAAAGAAACACUUCAGUGGAAACACUUAGUCUUAGACUGACAGCCGAUAUAUUUCGUUACCUCUGCCAAAAAAUAGCCAAGUAUACUCAUCUUUCAAUGUAGCGGAUCGACUGAACAUUAAAUCAUGUAAUGAGAAAAGUGAAUUUUCGGUUUACCUUCUGCUCAGUGGACAGUGACCAGUGGCAGUGAGCUGUACGGCCGGCUAAGUUUAAACCGUUAUACAGUACAUCAUUGACUGCUUUCAUUCUUUCAAUCCGUUUUGAAUAUUCGGAAUCAUUCACAAUAUUAUAAAACUGUAUAAGAUAGCUGUAGAACUAUAAAUGCUGUAGAAUGAAAUAAAUAAAGAAAAGUAAGUUUUAUCGCGGUAUUUGCCGAUAAAUCGGUAAUCGCUACAGAAAAACAGAACAAAUUACAGUAAAUCACAACAAACCGCGGAAAUGGGACAAUUUUUGUAUUUUUACUGUAAGACAUGCAGAACAUGUACGAAAUCCAAACAGAAGUGUGUGUGUAUUCUAUACUUUUGAAACAACUAAAUCAGACUUCGGAAAAUUUGACCGUAUUAAAGCUGCUUUUGAGAAUUUAGGUUUUAGGUCUUCGUUUUACAUGUACCCAGACCAGUAAAUAUUUUUGAGUUUUGAAUUUUGUGUAUAAAUCAACACCAACGCCUCAAAAGGAUGGCAAGAUUGUUAGAAUUGCUAUUGUAAACAUGAGCAGUUUCGAGCAUAAACAUGAAAUUGAAACGAGUAAUUUAACGCACGUGUCCCACUUCCGCGGUUUGUUGUGAUCACGGUUUACUGUAAUUUGUUCUGUUUUUCUGUAGCGAUUACCGAUUUAUCGGCAAAUACCGCGAUAAAACGUAGUUUUCUUUAUUUAUUUUAUUCUACAGCAUUUAUAGUUCUACAGGCAGC
rnacentral:lncRNA from 1 species